GACGAACGCUGGCGGCGUGCUUAACACAUGCAAGUCGAACGGAAAGGCCCUGCUUUUGUGGGGUGCUCGAGUGGCGAACGGGUGAGUAACACGUGAGUAUCCUGCCCUUGACUUUGGGAUAACUUCAGGAAACUGGGGCUAUUAUCGGAGAGGAUCUCCUGCUGCAUGGUGGGGGUUGGAGAGUGUCGGCGGUUGGGGCUGGACUCGCGGCUUAUGAGCUUGUUUGUCGGGUAGUGACUUACCAAGGUUUUGACGGGUAGCCGGCCUGACAGAGUGACCGGCGACCAGGGGCCUGAGAUACGCCGCAGACUCCAACGGGACGCAGCAGUCGGGAAUAUGACACAAUGGGGGGACGCCUGAUGCAGCAGCGCUGCGAGCGGGAUAACGGCCUACGGGGGGUAAACCGAUUUCGCCGGUGACGAAGCGUGAGUGACGGUAAUGGGUAAAGAAGCACCGGCUAACUACGUG
rnacentral:rRNA from 1 species